rnacentral:rRNA from 1 species
CAGCAGUGGGGAAUUUUGGACAAUGGGGGCAAGCCUGAUCCAGCAAUGCCGCGUGCAGGAUGAAGGCCUUCGGGUUGUAAAGCUUCUUUCGUCAGGAACGAAAAGGCUCUCUCUAAUACUGGUGGCUCAUGACGGUACCGUAAGAAGAAGCACCGGCUAACUACGUGCCAGCAGCCGCGGUAAUACGUAGGGUGCAAGCGUUAAUCGGAAUUACUGGGCGUAAAGCGUGCGCAGGCGGUCUUGUAAGACAGGUGUGAAAUCCCCGGGCUUAACCUGGGAACUGCACUUGUGACUGCAAGGCUGGAGUACGGCAGAGGGGGAUGGAAUUCCGCGUGUAGCAGUGAAAUGCGUAGAUAUGCGGAGGAACACCGA